AUGGAGAGCCCAGGCCGAGCAGAGCAGAUAGAUAGCAAGCUUCGAAAGCUAGCUCCCUCCUCGCGGCAGGCUCCACCAUCCCUGAGGCACGUGCGAGCAGUGCACGGCAUGCAGGAGUUCCAGCCCAUCCCCGGCCUGGCCGGGCGGCUGUUCGGCGGCGCGGCGGAUCGUCCGGCGGGCCUCCUCCGCCACGGCGGGGCGCCGGAGGAGGUGCGCUGCCCGCGGUGCGACUCGGCCAACACCAAGUUCUGCUACUACAACAACUACAACCUCUCGCAGCCGCGCCACUUCUGCAAGGGCUGCCGCCGGUACUGGACCAAGGGCGGCCUCCUCCGCAACGUCCCCGUCGGGGGCGGGUGCCGCAAGCCCAAGCGAAAAGCCGCCGCCGCCUCCUCCUCCGACGUCGAUAAGGACCCCUCCGGCGCCAAUAGCGAGGCCAAGAACGCACGCUCCGGCUGCAGUGCUGGCAGCUCCAGCCUCACCUCCGGUGCCUCGUCCGCGUCGACGAACACCGUCAAUGACGUUGGUGCAUGUGCCGCGGCCCACUCGAGCGGCGGAAGCAUGCCGUUCACAGGCCUUGGCCCAAGCACCUUCAUCGCAGACGCGCCGCCUCUGCAGCCGCCGACGGCGAUGUUCACCGACCAGGCGGCCGCGUUCGCGUCGCUCUUCGGGACGCCGCUUCCGGCCUUCACCUUCUCAGCGCAGCGCAAGGCCGAGGACGACGUUGCCCCUGCAGUCACAUCCACAGAACAGCCGUCGUCGGCGUCUUCCACCGCAGACCUGGCGCCGUUCUCCGCACGGUCAACUGGCGCGGCGACGGCAUCAGCGUCAGACUGGCCGCCGGCGACGAUGAUCGACGCCGGGAUAUUCGACAUCGCCGGCGCCGUCGGGAGCGACACGACGUCGUACUGGAACACGGCGAGCUGGACUGACCCGGACGGGACGGUAUACCUGCCCUAG
rnacentral:rRNA from 1 species